rnacentral:rRNA from 1 species
UGGGGAAUUUUGGACAAUGGGCGCAAGCCUGAUCCAGCCAUGCCGCGUGCGGGAAGAAGGCCUUCGGGUUGUAAACCGCUUUUGUCAGGGAAGAAACGCUCUGGGCUAAUACCCUGGGGUAAUGACGGUACCUGAAGAAUAAGCACCGGCUAACCACGUGCCAGCAGCCGCGGUAAUACGUAGGGUGCAAGCGUUAAUCGGAAUUACUGGGCGUAAAGCGUGCGCAGGCGGUUAUGCAAGACAGAUGUGAAAUCCCCGGGCUCAACCUGGGAACUGCAUUUGUGACUGUAUAGCUAGAGUACGGUAGAGGGGGAUGGAAUUCCGCGUGUAGCAGUGAAAUGCGUAGAUAUGCGGAGGAACACCGAUGGCGAAGGCAAUCCCCUGGACCCUGUACUGACGCUCAUGCACGAAAGCGUGGGGAGCAAACAGGAUUAGAUACCCAUGUAGUCCCUG